GACGUAGGGUGCAAGCGUUGUCCGGAUUUAUUGGGCGUAAAGGGUGCGUAGGCGGCGGGGUAAGUUGGGUGUGAAAUCCCGGGGCUUAACCUCGGAAUUGCAUUCAAUACUGCUUCGCUUGAGUACUGGAGAGGAGGCUGGAAUUUACGGUGUAGCAGUGAAAUGCGUAGAUAUCGUAAGGAAGGCCAGUGGCGAAAGCGAGCCUCUGGACAGUUACUGACGCUGAUGCACGAAGGCCAGGGGAGCAAACGGG
rnacentral:rRNA from 1 species